UAAAGCGCACGUAGGCCCACUGAAAAGUCCGAGGUGAAAUCCCUGGGCUCAACCUUGGAACUGCCUUUGAAACUCUCCUUCUUGAGGUCGUGAGAGGUGAGUGGAAUUCCGAGUGUAGAGGUGAAAAUCUCACAUAUUCGGAGGAACACCAGUGGCGAAGGCGGCUCACUGGCACGAUACUGACACUGAAGUGCGAAAGCGUGGGGAGCAAACAGGAUUAGAUACCCUGGUAGUCCACGCCG
rnacentral:rRNA from 1 species